UACGUAGGAGACGAGCGUUGUCCGGAGUUACUGGGCGUAAAGGGUGCGCAGGUGGCGGCGCGCGUGGGGGGGUGAAAUCGCCCGGCUUAACUGGGCGGGGGGCCUUCCAGACGGCGUGGCUUGAGCAGCGGAGGGGGACGUGGAAUUCCGGGUGGAGCGGUGAAAUGCGUAGAGAUAUGGAGGAACACCAGUGGCGAAGGCGACUUUCUGGUCUGUAACUGACACUGAGGCGCGAAAGCGUGGGGAGCAAACAGG
rnacentral:rRNA from 1 species